rnacentral:rRNA from 1 species
UACGUAGGGUGCGAGCGUUAAUCGGAAUUACUGGGCGUAAAGUGUGCGCAGGCGGCCAUGCAAGUCGAGUGUGAAAGCCCCGGGCUUAACUUGGGAAUUGCGCUCGAAACUACGUGGCUGGAGUGUGGCAGAGGAAGGUGGAAUUCCACGUGUAGCGGUGAAAUGCGCAGAUAUCAGGAGGAACACCAAUGGCGAAGGCAGCUCGCUGGGACGUGACUGACGCUGAGACGCGAAAGCGUGGGGAGCAAACAGG